CCCCUUAUCAAAACCGGUUCAAUCUCAAAGCCGGACAAAGCAUCGCGAAUGACGGACGCGCGUCAUCAAUUGAAUUUGGCUUAUGUUUCGUGAGUCGUGACUUCUGCUGAAGGGGAACCCUAAAGGAGAUGUUGACCUGAAACCUGGACCUGUUACUCACUACAGUUCCUCUGCAGGUUCCCCUUCAUGAUAGAAAUUCACUUCCAUAUCAUCUGAGAGACUUGGUGAGUAGCUGAGUAAAAUGUAUUAUGGUACAGCAUUCCUUCCCAACCAGGUAAUGGUUUGAAUCCCAC